rnacentral:rRNA from 1 species
UACGAAGGGGGCUAGCGUUGUUCGGAAUCACUGGGCGUAAAGGGCGCGUAGGCGGCGCGACAAGUCAGGCGUGAAAGCCCCGGGCUCAACCCGGGAAUUGCGCUUGAUACUGUCGUGCUUGAGGCCGGGAGAGGAUGGCGGAAUUCCCAGUGUAGAGGUGAAAUUCGUAGAUAUUGGGAAGAACACCGGUGGCGAAGGCGGCCAUCUGGACCGGUUCUGACGCUGAGGCGCGAAAGCGUGGGGAGCGAACGGG